GUAAUUUAAUAUGCAAAUUUAGAUCGUAUCGCGUAAUAUUAAAGUUGAAAGUGUAUUGCAGUGCGCGGGCGCUCGAGUCAUUACGUUGUCAGCGUCCUAAUUUUGCAGUGUCCUCGUUUUUGAGGUCAGCCUCUAUCGGGGCAACGAACUCGUGCCCUUAUCGCACAGAGAGACGGGAGGUGGCUGCCAGCUAAGCGACUCGUGGUAGGUAACGGGCCGGCGAGCGGUGAGGUGCCGGGCGGGGGGAGUGCAGGUGGGGGGAGCAACACGAGGUACGUGGCCCAGUUUCGCGCGGGUGCAUGAACUCUAACGAGGGAGCGAUGACCGUGCGGCGUGCAUUGCGUGCGUCACUCACCUCGCUGCAACCAGCCGGAGCUCUCGACUCCGCACCUCAC